GGGUAGGUGGAAAGCUGGUUAAACCGUUUGGUUUUCGACCACUACGACCCGGGUUCGAAUCCCGCAUUAGACA
rnacentral:tRNA from 1 species